rnacentral:misc_RNA from 1 species
GAUGAAGAACGCAGCGAAAUGCGAUAAGAAAUGUGAAUUGCAGAAUUCAGUGAAUCAUCGAAUCUUUGAACGCACAUUGCGCCCGCCAGUAUUCUGGCGGGCAUGCCUGUUCGAGCGUCAUUACAACCCUCAGGCCCCCGGGCCUGGCGUUGGGGAUCGGCGGAAGCCCCCUGCGGGCACAACGCCGUCCCCCAAAUACAGUGGCGGUCCCGCCGCAGCUUCCAUUGCGUAGUAGCUAACACCUCGCAACUGGAGAGCGGCGCGGCCACGCCGUAAAACACCCAACUUCUGAAUGUUGACCUCGAAUCAGGUAGGAAUACCCGCUGAACUUAAGCAUAUCAAUAAGCGGAGG